UGGGGAAUAUUGCACAAUGGGCGAAAGCCUGAUGCAGCAACGCCGCGUGAGUGAUGAAGGUCUUCGGAUUGUAAAGCUCUGUCUUUUGGGACGAUAAUGACGGUACCAAAGGAGGAAGCCACGGCUAACUACGUGCCAGCAGCCGCGGUAAUACGUAGGUGGCGAGCGUUGUCCGGAUUUACUGGGCGUAAAGGGUGCGUAGGCGGAUGUUUAAGUGAGAUGUGAAAUACCCGGGCUUAACUUGGGUGCUGCAUUUCAAACUGGAUAUCUAGAGUGCAGGAGAGGAGAAUGGAAUUCCUAGUGUAGCGGUGAAAUGCGUAGAGAUUAGGAAGAACACCAGUGGCGAAGGCGAUUCUCUGGACUGUAACUGACGCUGAGGCACGAAAGCGUGGGUAGCAAACAGGAUUAGAUACCCUGGUAGUCCACGCCGUAAACGAUGAGUACUAGGUGUAGGAGGUAUCGACCCCUUCUGUGCCGCAGUAAACACAUUAAAGUACUCCGCCUGGGAAGUACGAUCGCAAGAUUAAAACUCUAAAGUGAAUUGACGGGGUC
rnacentral:rRNA from 1 species